GACGGAAGGUGCAAGCGUUGCUCGGAAUCACUGGGCGUAAAGGGCGCGUAGGCGGCCACCGCAAGUCAGUUGUGAAAUCUCUGGGCUUAACCCAGAAAGGUCAACUGAUACUGCGGGGCUAGAGUGCGGAAGGGGCUACUGGAAUUCUCGGUGUAGCGGUGAAAUGCGUAGAUAUCGAGAGGAACACCUGCGGCGAAGGCGGGUAGCUGGGCCGACACUGACGCUGAUGCGCGAAAGCCAGGGGAGCGAACGGG
rnacentral:rRNA from 1 species